GCCGCACAAGGCUGUUCGAGACGGGCCCUAGAACAUGCGGCGGAGGCUGGUAGCGUUGGCGAGGCUGAGAGGAGAAGAACCCCGUUGUACCAUGUGAAUCGCGUCGCUGUCUGGACGCUGGUUUGGCGGAGGAGGGCGACGCUUCCGCGAACCAGAGAUAAAUGAAGAAGGAUCCCUUCCCUUGAACUUGGGUUUUGAAAGGUUCCCUUUUUAUAAGGAUUGAGAAUUUCCAUUCAUAAAGCCUACAAAUUUUGAAUUUCCAAUCAUGGUUAAUGCUCUUUAUUACCCUUAUUUUCUCCCUGGGUCUUGUCUCUAUGAUUGAAUGCGGUCUAUAUUUAAGCCACAAGAUGGGGUGUAUGGGCAGAAUGUAGGGGAAACUUCUUACUAACAUAAUUGGGUGUAGUUAAUGGAGAAAAUCUGUUUUCUCCUUUAAUGACU